GAUUUUGUAUUCAAUAAUGAUUUUAAAUUGCAAAUUUAAAGGUGAUUAAUAUCCAAAAUCU
rnacentral:tRNA from 2 species